rnacentral:lncRNA from 1 species
AAUGAGCUCAAAGACAACUGGAAUACUCGUGGGAAAAGCUUAAUCCAUUACAACAAAACAAGCUUACACACGGCUUUCCCUUUCGGGAAACCCCAAGCACUUGGAACAAACCUUAGGGAUUACCUUACAAGCACACAAAGGACAUUGCUGCCUCCUUUAUUCUAUAAUUACACAUAGGUGGUGGAGUAAUACAAUGGUAGUGGAAAGGUAGUACUAAUUAUGACUUAUUAUUCUCUCAGGGAUGUUCUUAGUAGUGGUCUUCAUGGGAUACUAGGUGAUACCCCACGCGUUGCUGCGGAAAUUUUUAAAUAAAGUUGUAAGAUGAAAAUUUGAAAGUAUAAACUAAGGUGAUUGUUAUGCAACAUUCUUUUGCAAACGACACUAUAUAUGAAAAUAUGUUCAUUUCGUCGAGACAAAAUGGUUGUUAAAUGAUUGAUCUUUCACGUAUUUCUAUUGUUGAAAUUUUGGAGCAUGGUACUCACAAAGAUGUAUGGAUGCUAUAGUCACAGAAAAUCGGUGGAAGAUAUAAAUUGAUGAUCUAGUGGAUGAUGAUGUGGCAUGUGAGGUGGAUGGCUUGCAUGUUGAGAGAAAUAUAGUUAAUGCCUCUUAGUGGGUUCCAUCUAUAUAGUUGUAUAUGAUUGGAUGGUGGAAG